CAGCUCAAAUUUGAAAUCUGGCCCCCCCCCCCGGGGGGCCCGAGUUGUAAUUUGCAGAGGACGCUUCGGGCGCGGCGCCGGCCGAGUUCCUUGGAACAGGACGCCGUAGAGGGUGAGAGCCCCGUACGGCCGGACGCCUAGCCCGUGCGAAGCUCCUUCGACGAGUCGAGUAGUUUGGGAAUGCUGCUCAAAAUGGGAGGUAAAUUUCUUCUAAAGCUAAAUACCGGCCAGAGACCGAUAGCGCACAAGUAGAGUGAUCGAAAGAUGAAAAGCACUUUGAAAAGAGGGUUAAAGAGUACGUGAAAUUGUUGAAAGGGAAGCGCCUGUGGCCAGACGUGCCGCCCGCGGACCACCUGGCGCCCCCGCGCCAGGGCACGCCGCGGGCGCGCAGGCCAGCAUCGGCCUCCCCGGGGGGACAAAGGGCGCGGGAACGUAGCUCCUCAGGGAGUGUUAUAGACCGCGCCGCCAUGCCUCCGGGGGGGCCGAGG
rnacentral:rRNA from 1 species